rnacentral:rRNA from 1 species
AACGAACGCUGGCGGCAUGCCUAACACAUGCAAGUCGAACGAGACCUUCGGGUCUAGUGGCGCACGGGUGCGUAACGCGUGGGAACCUGCCCUUAGGUUCGGAAUAACUCCCCGAAAGGGGUGCUAAUACCGGAUAAUGUCUUCGGACCAAAGAUUUAUCGCCUUUGGAUGGGCCCGCGUUGGAUUAGCUAGUUGGUAGGGUAAAAGCCUACCAAGGCGACGAUCCAUAGCUGGUCUGAGAGGAUGAUCAGCCACACUGGGACUGAGACACGGCCCAGACUCCUACGGGAGGCAGCAGUGGGGAAUACUGGACAAUGGGCGAAAGCCUGAUCCAGCAAUGCCGCGUGAGUGAUGAAGGCCUUAGGGUUGUAAAGCUCUUUUACCCGGGAUGAUAAUGACAGUACCGGGAGAAUAAGCUCCGGCUAACUCCGU